rnacentral:lncRNA from 1 species
GGUUCGUAUAUUUUUUUCUCCAGGUAUUUCGUAUAUUUUAUGCAUUUUUAUUAUAAAAAAUUAAGUACAAUAAUUUUUUUUUUGUAGACGAAAGCAGGAAUAUUAUUACUGAAGAUCAGAGCGAGCAAUAUCUCGAAGCCAGGGUGGGAAACCCGACUUCCAGAUCAUUACACCGGAAACAUUAAAAGCAAAACUAAGUACAAUAAUGAUAAAUAAUAUUUUCAUAAAUUAUAUAGUUUCAAUACAUUAUAAAUAAGUUAGGAAUAAAUACUUAAUGAACUAAUUGUUUCUGUUUCAUACCAUUAAGUAACAAACGAACUAAAUAAUAAUUCAAUAAUAUUCAUUAAUAAUAGCCCACAAACUGAAGAAAAAAAAAAUCUUCUUUCAAAAAUAGAGCUACUGACUGAAAAACUCCUUUAUGAAAUUCAAUUCUUCCAAACCUUAAGCUAUAUACAACAAAUUUUAAUAAUAGCC